GCGGGCGGCCGCCGCCGAGCCCUGCGCCGCGCCCUGCUCGUGCCGCCGCGGCCUGCUGGACUGCAGCCGGCAGCGCCUGCCCAGCGGGCCCGGCCCGCGGAGGAUUCCGCCGCUGCCCGCCGGCACCACGGGGCUGUGAGUGAGCGCGGCGGGGCCGGACGGGCGGCGGGCUGUGCGCAGGCCUCGGCCUGGCGGGACGGGCCCGGGCCCGGCGGCGGGGCGGUGCGAGGCCCGGGCUGAAGGGCCGGCAGGGCUCGGCGCUCGGCGUCCUUGUCUCGCUCUGUAGCUCCCUGGCAGGAGGGUGCAGCCGGGUGCGGGUCGGGCUCUCUUCCCGCGUAGCAAGCGUUAAGACAAGAGGACAUAGUCUUCAGCUGUGCCAGGGGAGGUUCAAGUUCGGCAUCGGGAGGAAUUUCUUCACAGAAAGGGUGGUGGGCGUUGGAAGGGGCUGCCCAGGGAGGGUGGAGUGCCAUCCCCUGGCGGCGUUCAGGGAGCGGCUGGACGUGGCACUCAGUGCCAUGGUGUGAUUGACAAGGUGGCGUUUGGUCAUAGCUUGGGUUUAAUGAUCUUGGAGGUGAUUGUGUGAUUUUGUCCGCGGGAUGUUCUCACGGAGCCCGCCGCGGGCAGGGCGGCCCCGGCAGUGAUGCCCCAGGGUGGGAGGCAGCUCUGAGGUCUCUGGAGUCUCAGCUGAGCGGGGUGGAGGGGCAGAAUCGUUCCCUCCUUUGCUGCUCAUGCUGGGGGAUCAGCCCAGGGCUCAGGGGCGUGUUCUGGGCUGCAGAUGCACGUUUCUGUUGAGCUUCUCAUCCUCCAACAUCCCCAAGUCCUCCCCAGAGCUGCUCUCAAUCCAUUCUGUGUCUAUCCUCUGUUGUGGCUUUCAGGAUUUUGGCACAUGAAGCAUGGGUGAUGUUUUUUCUUCACUAGUACUACUCUAGCAGUUCUGAAUCUAAAUGAGCUAUAAUGUAUACCAGCUGUUUAAAAUUAAUCAAAGCCUAAUUUUUCUCACAGGAUCAAGUCCCUCAUAUGCUUUUCCCUAUUACUUCUGUGAUACCAUUUCAGCUGGCACUGAGGACUAAAAAUUCUUUUUUCCUAAUUCUCAAAUUACUUGCAGGUGGUGCUUCCAGUGUGUGUGUGUGUGCAGCUUGGUUUUAUUUUCACUUUUUGUUUUUAAUAAAGCCAGAAGAGCAGAACUUGGUUUUCAUGAUGGAAGUACUCAGGCAACUAACUUCAUUUUUCCUAUGAAUUUAUAUAUGUUUUGUGGCUAACCUGGUGGGUGAUGAAAAGCGUUGUGAAGUUAGGGAUUUAGGAAGUUUUUUUUUGUAUGUCUGCCCCUUAACAUUAGUUUAUUCAGAGCAAGGAAUGCCCGCCCUGUGUGUGGGGGCAAAGAGAAGCACAAUGCUGGUGGUCGCUGCCUCUAGUCCCGUAGUGGUAGGUAUGUUUAUAUAUCCUGGUAAGCAGAGAGAUGAUGAAUAGAAAUAGUUCAGGUAUCAGUUCAUUAGCUCAGUAAGUUCCGUUCACAGUAGAUUUUUUGGGUGAGCUCAGCUGGCUGCCUGCAUUCUGCAUCACCACCUCUACAGUGCCACAGUAUGCUCAGCUUGGCUGAAUUAGGAUCAUUCUUCAUCAGCCAUAAUCGGUUUGGUAUGUGUGUUCUGUUUUAUUUACUUAAGAGAUGAGUACCACUUAGGCUCAAAAUGAAUGUUUAGAUGAUGUUAUAUACAAUACCAGAUGAAUCUCUAAAAUACAAAUUUUGCAUGUUUGCUCUGUAGUCUGCACAGCUUGGGCCUCCCAAUUGCAAAAGCUGCAUAAAGGGUGGGUUCCUGUUGGCUUUUCCAGAACAAGGGAAUGGCAUCUUGUUCUCCAGAAUAGCAGGAAUCUUAGCUCUGUGAAUGAUCUCUAAACACAGAAAAUCAGCCAAUGUAUUUCAUUCUGUAUUUUGUGAUCAAUUGGUCUGUUUGAAAAAGAAAACUAUCAGUAAAAGAAUGUAGAUAUAAAUAAUGUUAGAAUCACUAUAAAUAUCAACUCUACCCAACUCCUUGAAAGAGGACUUAUUGUAAUGAAAACUUUGUUGUAGUCCAAAUCUGAGUAAUAAUAGAAAAAUACUUCCCUGUGCUUUCUGAAUUAAAAUCUUAAUUUCUAACUCAGUAAUUAGACAGUAGGCUUUGCAGGGUGGGGGGGAUAGCUGGAUGUUAGCACAUCCUCAUCACCCAGGCCCCAUGGCUGUCAGUGAUUAGGAGGAAUUUGGAGGAAUUCAGUGUCCCGAAUAAUCUUAACUUUUGGUCAGUCCUGCAGUAGUUAGGCAGGUGGACUAGAAGGUUGUUGUAGGUUCCCUACCCAGCUAACAUAUUCUAUUAUAGUUUUUCUGAAAGCCUUAGAAAAAUCAAGUUUCAGUUUUCUAUGUGUAUUAAUCUUGCUUCCAAGAUCUAUGUCAGUGCCCGCUAGCUGUGCCUGACACACGGGUCGGUCUGGCUCAGAACCCCUGGCCUGGUUUUGCUCAUUGGUGGAGUAUCUGCACACCUUGAGGGGUGCAUUGUUAUCUUCUGUGUCCGUUGUCUCCUUCCUCUGCCUGUUGUGCACUGGUUCUUUGGAAACAGCAUGGCUUAGUACUUCCUGCUCUGGUUAAACUCUGCUCCAAGAUUAGACUGCCAGCACUGGCUGGGUGCUUGCAUGUUUGAAAAAUUCAGGAAAGUCUACUGUUGUUGUUUGGGAUCAUAUCUCCCUCCACCUGUCUGUGCCAGGCUCCUGUGAUGCCCAGAGGCUGGGGCUGAGAGGGGUUCAGGGGAGUGUGGGCAGCUGCAGAGACUGUCUUGAGCAUUCAGCCCUCUGAGGUGGGAAGCCUGCUGAGGAGCAGCUCAUGCUUGGUUGUUUUUGUGUUUUUGCUAGUGUUUAGGGCUGGCUUAAUUACCACAUGUACUGAGGAAGCAGAGCUGCAGAAUAGUUCUGCAGCUGGCUGCAGUUUUUCUCCUCUCCAGGUUCUCUUGAUUUUUUUUUUUAAUUGUUUCCAAACCCACACUGCUCUAUCGGUAUAAUUUGCAUCUUGGUGUAAUUAAAAGAAUACAUUAACAACUGCCUGACUUGCCAUGACACCCAGGAUUUUAAUAAUUCAGCAGAAUCUUUACACUGAGCCUGAGUGAAAGUUAACAACUAUAAUAUACUGUAGUCUGUCAAUUGUCAGUCCAUUUUGUCUUUUAGUAGGUUGUGGUCUUACAGAUCAAAAAUAGUCUGCCAGAGCUCAAGGAGUGUUUGGACAAUGCUCUCAGGCAUGUGGUGGAAUUUUGGGGUUGGCAUGUUCUGGGCCAGGAAUUGAACUUAAUGAUUUUUGUAGGAUCAAGUUUGGCCCUCGGUGUAUUUGGAGUCAAACACAGGCCCAAAGCUAUUGCAGGAACAAAGGAGUUUGUGGAUGCUGUGGCUUGUCCAAACCUGGCUGUCAAUGGAAAUAUUUUUAAUUAUACUCAUUCGCAUUUUAAUAUUAAUUUUAACAAAUACAGUUUUGGUUGCAAAGUGUGAUUUUUGUCUCCUGCAUCAGCAUAGCUGCUGCCUGCCUGAUAAUCUUAAAACCAACUGUAAUAAAUACAUACAAUGCUACUGCAGCAAUGAUGAAAUGAUCAGUGAUACAGGACCUUACCAGAGGAGCUCAUAGGGAGGGGAACCGCUUUGCUGAAAACAGCUUGUUAUAGCUCUCCUUGACAUCAGAAUUGGACAUGGGGAGGGAAGCAUGGUGCCUUGCUGCUAGGCUGGAACAACUAGCUGGCAUAGAACAUUUUGAGCUAGAAGAGGUGCAAAAGAAUCAUCGAGUCCAACUCUUGGCCCUGCAUAGGACACCCCAAAAUCCCACCCUAUCCCCAAGAGCUUUGUCCAAAUGCUCCUUGCACUCUGGCAGCCUUGGGGCCCUGACUGCUCCCCUGGGGAGCCUGUUCAGUGCCCAACCAGUCUGUGGGGGAAGAACCUUUUCCUGAUAUGCAACCUAACCCUCCUCUGACACAGCUCCAGCUGUUCCCUUGGGUCUUGUCACUGCUCAGACAGAGCAGAGAUCAGAGCUGCCCCUUGGAGAAAGCUGCAGACCCUGGUGAGUCCUGACCUCAGUCUGUUCUUCUCCAGGCUAAACAAGCUAAGUGACCUCAGCCACUCCUUGUAUGGCCCCUUUAGACCCUUCACCAUCUUCAUAGCUCAGAGACAUAAGCUGUGUCUAGUUAUUCCUGCCCUCACCAACAGAUAUCCAGCUGUGGUGAGGGCACCAGUCUUAUUCUGCAGGUCUGUUCAGACACAAUGACUCAGGCUCUUGAUGUGAGCUUUGGGAGAUUCAUGUCUGGUGCUGGACGUGAACCACCAAAAUGUCACACAACUGGGUUGGUUUCACCUUUUGGACUGACAUCUGCCUAUCCUUUCUGGUGUGGCUGAGACUGUGUUUCCAUCACAAACCUGAUUUUUUGGUCCAUCCUUGCCUCAUGUCAUGACUAGAGGCAGCCUGUGCUCAGAAAUGGAUGCAUCUGUUGCAUUUAUGCGCCAAGUCCGAGGCAAAAGUAAAAUACUAUGUAAAGUUGCAGCAAUGGGAAUAGCACCAACACCCAGUGUGAGCAUUAAAGCUGGAUUUAAUGAGUCCUGCCCAUUGAAAGAGUCCAGCUCCUGCAUUUGAUUCUUAUAAGUAAAACCAACUGGUGCUAAAGCAUCUGUCUGUAAGAUUCCCAGCCGCAGGGUUCUCUCCGCUCCAGCUUGUUUGGGAAUUUUGUGUAUGUUGGUCCUUUAAAAUAAGCCUCCCUUGGCUACUUAGCAUCUUUGGAAAGCUGAGAAAAUGGGGAUCAUGCUGCAGGAAGCAGUUCAAUAACAGGCAUUUUGUAAGAAAUUACUCUCAUGUCCCUGCGAAGUUUUUCCUUCUUUCAGUAGACAAGUGUUGUUAAUAAAGCUCUGGAUUAAAGCCAAAAUUCUCUGGUCAGGUACAAUCUUCCUAUCAAGAAGCUUUAACCAAAGUUUUUUGAUUCAAAACAGAGAAACAGAACUGUUUAGACUUCUAAUUGUGAAUGACCACUAAAACAAGCUCUUUUCUUUAGUGAAGGAGCAACUGUAUAAAAUACAUAAAUGCAGUUUCAGACUUGAGAUUGCAUAAAGUAUAUAUGUUUGGGGUUUGUUGAGGUUUUAUUAUUAUUAUUCCAGGAACUAAAUAACUUUUUUCUCUGUUGUCUAGGGAUUUAAGUCAUAAUAAUUUAUUAUCAUCCAACUGGAGCAUUGAUUUGUCUGUCCAUACUCUCCAAGAAGUGAAAAUGAAUUACAAUGAGCUAAGUGAAAUUCCAUAUUUUGGAGAAACAACUUCCAAUAUAACUCUUCUCUCAUUGGUGCACAAUACCAUCCCAGAAAUAAAUGCUGAGCAACUCCAGGUCUACCUUUCAUUGGAAAAUCUAGAUCUUAGUUCUAAUCUUAUCUCAGAAAUUAAAGCCUCUUCCUUUCCACGAAUGCAGCUGAAGUACCUGAAUCUGAGCAACAACAGAAUAACUACUCUAGAAGCAGGUUGCCUUGAUAACUUAUCUAGCUCACUAAUGGUGAUAAAACUGAACAGAAAUAGGAUUAGUGUGAUUCCACCAAAGAUCUUCAGAUUGCCUCAUGUGCAGUUUCUGGAACUGAAAAGGAACCGGAUUAAAAUAGUGGAGAGUCUUACAUUCCAAGGAUUGGAAUCCUUAAAAUCCUUGAAAAUGCAGCGCAAUGGGAUUAGCAGACUAAUGGAUGGAGCAUUCUUUGGCCUGGGUAAUAUAGAGGAAUUAGAACUGGAACAUAAUAACUUAACAGAAGUAAACAAGGGCUGGCUGUAUGGGCUGCGGACAUUGCAACAACUCUAUGUUAGCCAGAAUGCCAUCACCAGGAUCAGCCCAGAUGCAUGGGAAUUCUGCCAAAGACUUGCUGAGCUAGACUUGUCAUACAAUCAGCUCACUCGCCUCAAGGAAUCUGCCUUUGUGGGACUUGGUUUAUUGGAGAAGCUAAACCUGGGUGACAAUCGCAUUAAUCACAUUGCUGAUGGUGUCUUUAGAGGUCUGACAAAUCUUCAAACCUUGGACUUGCGGAACAAUGAGAUCUCCUGGGCCAUAGAAGAUGCAAAUGAAGCUUUUGUGGGACUCAGCAGGCUGGAUAAACUAAUCUUGCAAGGAAACCAAAUUAAGUCAAUUACCAAAAAAGCAUUCUCUGGUCUCGAGGGACUUGAACAUCUAGAUUUAAGCAACAAUGCAAUAAUGUCCAUCCAAGAAAAUGCCUUUGCCCAUGCUCAGCUGAAGGAGCUAGUGCUGAACACAAGCAGUUUGCUCUGUGAUUGCCAGCUGAAAUGGCUGCCCCAGUGGCUCAGUGAGAGCCAUUUGCUGCAGACUGUCAGUGUCAGCUGUGCUCACCCUGAGUGGCUGGCAGGACAAAGCCUUCUCAGUGUGGACCUGGAUGCCUUUGUUUGCGAUAAUUUCCCUAAACCACAGAUCAGAGUCCACCCCGAGACCACGGUGGCCCUGCGAGGCACAAAUGUGACCCUGAUGUGCACUGCUGUGAGCAGCAGUGACUCUCCCAUGGCCACGGCCUGGCGCAAAGACAGCGAGGUCCUCUACGAUGCCGACGUUGAGAGCUUUGCCAGGUACCAGCAGCAAAGUGGGGAGGUGCUGGAAUACACCACUGUCCUGCACCUCUUCAAUGUGAAUUUCACUGAUGAAGGGAAAUACCAGUGCAUUGUCACCAAUCACUUUGGCUCCAAUUAUUCCAACAAAGCCAAGCUGACUGUCAAUGAGCUCCCUUCUUUUCUGAAAACUCCCAUGGAUCUCACUAUCCGCACCGGGGCAAUGGCCCGGCUGGAGUGUGCUGCUGAGGGCCACCCCCCCCCACAGAUCUCCUGGCAGAAAGAUGGUGGCACAGACUUCCCUGCUGCAAGAGAGAGGAGGAUGCACGUCAUGCCUGAGGAUGAUGUGUUCUUCAUUGCAAAUGUGAAGAUGGAAGACAUGGGGAUCUACAGCUGCAUGGCCCAGAACAUCGCAGGGGGACUCUCAGCCAAUGCCACCCUGACUGUGCUGGAAACUCCUUCCUUCAUGAGGCCCCUGGAGGACAGGACAGUGACCCGAGGUGAAACUGCUGUCCUGCAGUGCAUAGCUGGUGGCAGUCCUGCCCCUCGCCUCAACUGGACCAAGGACGAUGGUCCCUUGACAGUCACCGAGCGGCAUUUCUUUGCUGCAGCAAAUCAGCUCCUCAUCAUAGUGGAUGCAGGACUGGAGGAUGCUGGGAAGUACACGUGCAUCAUGUCCAACACACUGGGCACUGAGCGUGGCCAUAUUUACCUAAAUGUCCUGGCGUCCCCCAACUGUGAUUCUUCCCAGGGUGCCAUUGUCCAUGAAGAGGAUGGCUGGACAACAGUAGGGAUUGUGAUCAUCGUUGUUGUGUGUUGUGUGGUGGGAACAUCCUUGGUGUGGGUUAUCGUCAUCUACCACAUGAGGAGAAAGAAUGAAGACUACAGCAUCACUAACACAGAGGAGAUGAACCUACCUGCUGACAUUCCCAGCUACCUGUCCUCCCAAGGAACACUGUCUGAGCCUCAGGAAGGCUACAGUAACUUGGAGGCAGGGAGCCAUCAGCAGCUGAUGCCUCCAGCUGGCAGCUACAUGCACAAAGGCACAGAUGAGCCCAGGCAGAAGAGGUGGAAAUAGAUUUUGAUUGGAAGAUGACUAGCUGUGACUCCUAUCCUCGGUAUAAAAUUGGCUGGUUGGUUGGUUGGCUUGUUUUAAGGUGGUGCAGCACCAUUAGUGAUCUGCUCAGAUUGUUAUGACAAUGCCAACAUCUACUCCCGGACCCGAGAGUACUGUCCCUAUGCCUUCAUCACCGAGGAGGACCCCCUGGACCAAGCACUCCCGAAUCUCAUG